rnacentral:misc_RNA from 1 species
CGAUGCCCUUUUGUUUCAUUGAGAGUCGAAGAGGAAAAGUCUUGGUGUUUAUAGUGAUGGUGAUGACAACAUGGCGCUGGGCGGGGUAAGGUCUGCCCUCUCUGGGCUUUCCGACCUUCGCAAGGAGAAGGCUGAAGAGAAGGAGAACCUGUGGAAGAAGAUUCUCGGCGAGGUUCAGUCCAGCGAAAGGAACAAGCUGCCGUCAUGCAAAUCUGUGCUGGUGCUGGGUGACAAUGAGUCGGGCAAGACCACGUUGAUUGCCAAGCUUCAGGGCAAUGAGGACCCCAAGAAAGGCUCAGGACUGGAGUAUGCUUAUAUUGAUGUGCGCGAUGAAUACAGAGAUGACCACACAAGACUCAGCGUUUGGGUGCUGGAUGGCGAACCGGUCCAUGGUGAACUGCUGGAGUAUGCCAUGAGCCCCAAGAAUCUGGAACACACUUUGAUCCUCCUGACAGUGUCCAUGACCACUCCUUGGGGGAUCAUGGACCAGCUGCACACUUGGGCCUCCACACUGCAGGACCACAUUGAUAAGCUGAACCUCGACCCGGACUAUUUCAAGGAACGCCAGGAUAAGAUGUCCAGGCUAUGGCAAGACUAUGUGGAGCCUGGAGAUGAGCUGGAGGCCGGGUCACCAAUGAAAAGGUCCUCUCGUAACCUGGACGGAGAUGAUGAUCCUGUCUUGCCACUUGCUGAGAACGUAUUGACCAGAAACCUUGGCCUGCAUGUCAUUGUGGUGGUUACUAAGACAGAUUACAUGUCAACACUGGAGAAGGAUUUUGACUAUAAGGAGGAGCACUUUGACUUCAUCCAGCAAUCAAUAAGGAAGUUUUGCCUGCAGUACGGUGCCGCGCUAUUUUAUACCUCGGUCAAGGAGGACAAGAACUGCGACCUCCUGUACAAGUAUCUAGUCCAUAAAAUUUACAACUUCCCCUUCAGAACUCCUGCGCUGGUGGUCGAGAAGGAUGCUGUGUUCAUACCAGCAGGAUGGGACAACGAGAAGAAGAUCGCCAUCCUUUACGAGAACAUGCACACCAUGACGCCGGAGGAUUACUACACAGACGUCAUUGUUCGCCCGCCUGUUGUACGCAAGGCCAUGACGAGAGAAAUAGAGGUGCAGGUGGAGGAGGAGCAGGCCUUCUUGGCGCGGCACUUGGCACAGCUACAGGCGGGCGGCACCGGGGCACCCCACACACCCCAGGGCCGCCAGGAGUCCCCCCUCAGGCAGUCCCCGGCAGUGCAGAAGACCAGCGACAGGAGGGUGACCACUGGAGUCCCCGCCAACCAGAUCGGAUCCCCCAAGAAGAUAUGGAGGCCGACAUCAGCUGAGAUGAACAAGCCAGGCGGUCCGGGGCCCAGCGAGGGAGUCCUGGCUAACUUCUUCAACUCACUCCUCAGUAAGAAGACGGCCAUCAACAGCCCCCCCACCGCCGGCAUCAAGACUAAUGCAGAUAAGGCAGCGAUGAGGUCCGACGCAGCUGCAGAAUUAGACCGGCUGACUCGGAGUAAGAAGACCCCCAUCCCCCCCACCGCCGCCACCACCAACAGCACCCCAAACCCCGCCACCCCCAACAACACCGCCACCACCACUGACACCAACUCCUCGGAAUGUUGACUGACGAGGAGUCCGUUUGUGGUCUAAAAAAUUAUCCCUCCCCUGUCUGUCUGUCUGUGUGUCUGUAGGGGGGGCUAAACAGGGCGGGAGGGGGGGCCGGUGGUGUUGAUUCAUUCCUGUGUAUAUCGUUGGUUUAAUUUUUUCACCCUCAACACCGCCACCACCACCACCACCACCAGCACCACCAGGAAGGCUACCACACUGCACUUACCCAUUGCUGUGUUAUUAAGCCUCUAGUGCCUAUGUGCGUGUGUGUGUGCGUGCGUGUGUGCGUGUGUGUUUACCCUGGGGUCUGGAGGGUAGGGUCCAGGGGGAGGGGGUGGUCUAGAGAGGGUGUAUGAGGGGGGGGCAUAUUGCAAAGCCUGUAUCAUAUUUUUCUUAUUUAUUGUUAAUUUUAUAUACAUUUGCUUCUAUGCUAUGUCCUGGCUGUAUGCAUUGCUUGUGUGUGUGUGUGUGUGUGUGUGUGUGUGUGUGUGUGUGUGUGUGUGUGUGUGUGUGUGAGUGUGUUGUGGUGAAACUUGACUUACUUUAGGAGAGAAGUUAUUGUAGGGAGGGGUGAUGUAAUGUAUUUGUUUGUGUAUAUAUAUAGUUCUUGUUCUCUCUCUCUCUCUCUCUCUCUCUCUCUCUCUCUCUCUCUCUCUCUCUCUCUCUCUCUCUCUCUCUCUCUCUCUCUCUCUCUCUCUCUCUCUCUCUCUCUCUCUCUCUCUCUCUCUCUCCAAAAAUUUACUCUUAUUAUUUUUUCCUCAUUUUUAUCAUUUUCUUUUGUAUCCCUUCAAAAAAAUACCACUGUCUUUUCACCACAGACCUUUAAAUACUCCCGUUUUCUUUGGCAGUGUCACAUAAUGCAUAUCCAGAGCAAUAAGGCUCAGAACCAGAUGAAAAUAUCCUUGAUUUUCACCCUUACCUGACUUUGUACUGUUAAUAGUCUUUGGUUCUUGAGGUGAGGUUUGGUUACUGUCUGUCUGUCUGUCUGUCUGUCUGUCUGUCUGUCUUUCUGUCUAUCUAUCUGUCUGUCUGAAUAUAUUAAGCUUUUGGGAAGGUCAUAGGCCACUAACUGUGUGAGAAAGGUGUGUGUGUGUGUGUGUGUGUGUGUGUGUGUGUGUGUGUGUGUGUGUGUGUGUGUGUGUGUGUGUGUGUGUGUGUGAGAGAGAGAGAGAGAGAGAGAGAGAGAGAGAGAGAGAGAGAGAGAGAGAGAGAGAGAGAGAGUUUAGAUAUCAGGUAUUAUAAGAUAUACUGAAGAGGAAAACCAAUUAUUCAACAUUAUAACAUCCCAGUGAAAACACACACACACACACACACACACACACACACACACACACACACACACACACACACACACACACACACACACACACACACACACACACACACACACACACACACACACCACCACCACCACCACCACCACCACCACCACCACCACCACCAGCCAGAGCAUUAUUAACCAAAUGAACAAGUUAAUAAAUAGAUAAAUAAUUAAUAAAGUAGCAAAUACAACACUCAAUGCUUUAUUUAGGCUUGAAAUCAUCUUAACUAUUUAUAUCCUUGAAAAAUAUUAUGGUUUUUUUAAGGCAAUUUACACCAAAAAUGCAGACCUGUUCUAUUGUGCAGGUGUGUGGCCCUACCUGUGAUAGUAACAGGUGUGUAGACUCGUUACCUUUGAAUCUGAGGUGUGUACAGGUGUGUUAGUUACCUGUGAGGUGCGACACAUUUGUAAUCAUAUUGCGAAGUGACCCACAAAUCUGUACUGGGAGAUGUACAGGUGUGGUGGGGUCCAGGACAGUUGUGGGGGGGCUUAACGACUCACAGGUACACACCCUUGCAUCCUUCACAGGUGUGUGUGGCACUGUGACCUCAAAAGACACACCUUAGGGUCACUUUACUGUAGCCAGUGUGUGCAGUCUUGUAAUGCUGGGCUGGGCAGGUGUGGGGCUGUCACGGGCUUGUAACAUAAUGACCUAACGAUUCUAGGCAGGUGUGUUGGGCUCCAAACCUGUAUUCUAAAAUGCUUUGUUCUCUCACCACUACUUCUCAAGGCCACAGAGAUGACUAGCAGGGUUUUCAAGAGUGUUUUCCAGUUAGUAAUGUGGAAAUGUUGUCACUCUGCCUCUAGAACCAUAAAAAAAACUUGCUUAAAACACUUCUUUCCCACCACAACUGUUUUCCAAAGCCACAGAGAUGACUAGUGGGGUUUUCAAGAGUGUUUCUCCAGUUAAUAGUGUAAAAAUGUUAUCACUCUGUCUGUAAAACUGUAAGAACACCUUAAAAAACUCAUGUAAAUUUAGAUAAAGCCUUUUGAAAUAGUGGAGAUGAAGCAUAGAAGUGUUUGAGAAUACAAGUCUGACAUCUGUACUCUGAAACACUCUGCUCUCUCAUCAGGACUGUUUUACAAGGCCACACAGACAAUUAGCGAGGUUUUCAAGACACUUUCUCCCUUUAAGAAACCAGAAAUCUUGUCAGUCUAUCACCAGGAACAUAAAAAUACCCUUAAAAACAUGAACAUCAACCUGCAAGGGGACUGGAAAGUAAGUGGGCCUUUUUUUUAGUGUUUGUUGCCCUUUUCCAGCCUUCCCAUCUUACUUAAAGAAUCGAGAGCUUUGUAAAGUAGUGAUGGUGAGAGACAAGCAUUCAGAGUACAGAACCUUUGUCACCCCUGUGUGUGUCACGUGUGUGUGUCACUGCAGGUGUGUAAAGGAUAGUACACGCCUGUUAGCCUUGGAGUAUUGAUGUAUAUAGGUGACAGAAUGAUUACUACUACUACUACUAUUACUAUUACUACUACUACAACAGCAGCUGUACAUGUUAUUGUCUUGUCUCAGCGUAGACUUUCCCAACGUGAUACACACACACACAAAAAAAAAAAAAAAAAAUUAAGGAAACGUAUUUUUUUUUCGCUGAGGAAGAAAAAAAAAGUUUAAUUGUUCUUUUUUCCUCGUUAAAAAAUAGAAAUAAAAAGAAUGUCUAUUUGUUAAUUUAUCUUACGAAAUGAUGAUGAUGAUAAGAAUAAAUAAAGAUAAAUGCUGUUAUGGUUUUCAGAAAGAUAUUUUACAUUUUUGCCAUUGCAGAGAAAUUGUAAAAACAUGAAAAUACGACAUUUGUGAUAACUCC